rnacentral:rRNA from 1 species
AGUGAACGCUGGCGGUAGGCCUAGCACAUGCAAGUCGAACGGCAGCACAGUAAGAGCUUGCUCUUACGGGUGGCGAGUGGCGGACGGGUGAGGAAUACAUCGGAAUCUACUUUUUCGUGGGGGAUAACGUAGGGAAACUUACGCUAAUACCGCAUACGACUUACGGGUGAAAGCAGGGGAUCUUCGGACCUUGCGCGAUUGAAUGAGCCGAUGUCGGAUUAGCUAGUUGGCGGGGUAAAGGCCCACCAAGGCGACGAUCCGUAGCUGGUCUGAGAGGAUGAUCAGCCACACUGGAACUGAGACACGGUCCAGACUCCUACGGGAGGCAGCAGUGGGGAAUAUUGGACAAUGGGCGCAAGCCUGAUCCAGCCAUACCGCGUGGGUGAAGAAGGCCUUCGGGUUGUAAAGCCCUUUUGUUGGGAAAGAAAAGCAGCAGGUUAAUACCCCGCUGUUCUGACGGUACCCAAAGAAUAAGCACCGGCUAACUUCGUG